rnacentral:rRNA from 1 species
GAAUAAAAUAAUUCAAAAUACAACUUUCAACAACGGAUCUCUUGGCUCUCGCAUCGAUGAAGAACGCAGCGAAAUGCGAUACGUAAUGUGAAUUGCAGAAUUCAGUGAAUCAUCGAAUCUUUGAACGCAUAUUGCGCUCUUUGGUAUUCCGAAGAGCAUGCUUGUUUGAGUAUCAGUAAACACCUCAAAGACUUCAAUUUGUUUUGAAUGGCUUUGGACUUGAGCAAUCCCAACACCAGUCUUUACGAUCGGUGGAGGGUUGCUUGAAAUGCAGGUGCAGCUGGACAUUCUCCUGAGCUAAAAGCAUAUUUAUUUAGUCCCGUCAAACGGAUUAUUACUUUUGCUGCAGCUAACAUAAAGGGAGUUUGACCGUAUUGGCUGACUGAUGCAGGAUUUCACAAGGGUCGGCAACGAUUCUUGUAAAACUCGAUCUCAAAUCAAGUAAGACUACCCGCUGAACUUAAGCAUAUCAAUAAGCGGAGGAAGG